AGUGAACGCUGGCGGUAGGCCUAACACAUGCAAGUCGAACGGCAGCACAGUAAGAGCUUGCUCUUACGGGUGGCGAGUGGCGGACGGGUGAGGAAUACAUCGGAAUCUACUUUUUCGUGGGGGAUAACGUAGGGAAACUUACGCUAAUACCGCAUACGACCUACGGGUGAAAGCAGGGGAUCUUCGGACCUUGCGCGAUUGAAUGAGCCGAUGUCGGAUUAGCUAGUUGGCGGGGUAAAGGCCCACCAAGGCGACGAUUCGUAGCUGGUCUGAGAGGAUGAUCAGCCACCCUGGAACUUGGACACGGUCCAGACUCCUACGGGAGGCAGCAGUGGGGAAUAUUGGACAAUGGGCGCAAGCCUGACCCAGCCAUACCGCGUGGGUGAAGAAGGCCUUCCGGUUGUAAAGCCCUUUUGUUGGGAAAGAAAAGCAGCAGGUUAAUACCCCGCUGUUCUGACGGUACCCAAAGAACAAGCACCGGCUAACUUCGUG
rnacentral:rRNA from 1 species